CGCGACCUCAGGUCAGCGGGGCUA
rnacentral:rRNA from 1 species